UCGUGCUAGACGGGGAGCUAGCGGUGCCCUGCACCCGCAAUCCGCUACAGCGGGGUUGAAUCCCUGCCCGCGGUCCUCGCCUUGUGGGACUACCUUUGCUAAGCGGCAAGGAAGGUCGGGCCCUGCGCGGCAGAAGCCUAUGAAUCCCGUCAGAUCCGGAAGGAAGCAGCGGUAAAUGGACCCUUCUGGGUGCCGCAGGUUCGCCUGAUCGGAGCUGGCUGGUAAGGGCAAGCCGGAAGGCCCGAUCAACGGUAGGUGCACGG
rnacentral:SRP_RNA from 1 species